UUAAGCGACUAAGCGUACACGGUGGAUGCCCUGGCAGUCAGAGGCGAUGAAGGACGUGCUAAUCUGCGAUAAGCGCCGGUAAGGUGAUAUGAACCGUUAUAACCGGCGAUUUCCGAAUGGGGAAACCCAGUGUGAUUCGUCACACUAUCAUUAACUGAAUCCAUAGGUUAAUGAGGCGAACCGGGGGAACUGAAACAUCUAAGUACCCCGAGGAAAAGAAAUCAACCGAGAUUCCCCCAGUAGCGGCGAGCGAACGGGGAGGAGCCCAGAGCCUGAAUCAGCAUGUGUGUUAGUGGAAGCGUCUGGAAAGGCGCGCGAUACAGGGUGACAGCCCCGUACACAAAAGCGCAUGUGCUGUGAGCUCGAUGAGUAGGGCGGGACACGUGGUAUCCUGUCUGAAUAUGGGGGGACCAUCCUCCAAGGCUAAAUACUCCUGACUGACCGAUAGUGAACCAGUACCGUGAGGGAAAGGCGAAAAGAACCCCGGCGAGGGGAGUGAAAAAGAACCUGAAACCGUGUACGUACAAGCAGUGGGAGCACCCUUCGGGGUGUGACUGCGUACCUUUUGUAUAAUGGGUCAGCGACUUAUAUUCUGUAGCAAGGUUAACCGUAUAGGGGAGCCGGAGGGAAACCGAGUCUUAAUUGGGCGUUAAGUUGCAGGGUAUAGACCCGAAACCCGGUGAUCUAGCCAUGGGCAGGUUGAAGGUUGGGUAACACUAACUGGAGGACCGAACCGACUAAUGUUGAAAAAUUAGCGGAUGACCUGUGGCUGGGGGUGAAAGGCCAAUCAAACCGGGAGAUAGCUGGUUCUCCCCGAAAGCUAUUUAGGUAGCGCCUCGUGAAUUCAUCUCCGGGGGUAGAGCACUGUUUCGGCUAGGGGGCCAUCCCGGCUUACCAACCCGAUGCAAACUGCGAAUACCGGAGAAUGUUAUCACGGGAGACACACGGCGGGUGCUAACGUCCGUCGUGAAGAGGGAAACAACCCAGACCGCCAGCUAAGGUCCCAAAGUCAUGGUUAAGUGGGAAACGAUGUGGGAAGGCCCAGACAGCCAGGAUGUUGGCUUAGAAGCAGCCAUCAUUUAAAGAAAGCGUAAUAGCUCACUGGUCGAGUCGGCCUGCGCGGAAGAUGUAACGGGGCUAAACCAUGCACCGAAGCUGCGGCAGCGAACGUAUCACCCAAGACAACUUUACGGAGUUGACGAUUGACGGAGCGAAGCGACGUCAAAGCGUUCAUUAAAGUCGAGUUGGCUUAGGGAUACGUUCGUUGGGUAGGGGAGCGUUCUGUAAGCCUGUGAAGGUGUGUCGUGAGGCAUGCUGGAGGUAUCAGAAGUGCGAAUGCUGACAUAAGUAACGAUAAAGCGGGUGAAAAGCCCGCUCGCCGGAAGACCAAGGGUUCCUGUCCAACGUUAAUCGGGGCAGGGUGAGUCGACCCCUAAGGCGAGGCCGAAAGGCGUAGUCGAUGGGAAACGGGUUAAUAUUCCCGUACUUGGUGUUACUGCGAAGGGGGGACGGAGAAGGCUAUGUUGGCCGGGCGACGGUUGUCCCGGUUUAAGCGUGUAGGUGUGUGUUCCAGGUAAAUCCGGUUCACUUUAACACUGAGGCGUGACGACGAGGCACUACGGUGCUGAAGCAACAAAUGCCCUGCUUCCAGGAAAAGCCUCUAAGCAUCAGGUAACACGAAAUCGUACCCCAAACCGACACAGGUGGUCAGGUAGAGAAUACCAAGGCGCUUGAGAGAACUCGGGUGAAGGAACUAGGCAAAAUGGUGCCGUAACUUCGGGAGAAGGCACGCUGACACGUAGGUGAAGUGAUUUACUCAUGGAGCUGAAGUCAGUCGAAGAUACCAGCUGGCUGCAACUGUUUAUUAAAAACACAGCACUGUGCAAACACGAAAGUGGACGUAUACGGUGUGACGCCUGCCCGGUGCCGGAAGGUUAAUUGAUGGGGUCAGCGUAAGCGAAGCUCCUGAUCGAAGCCCCGGUAAACGGCGGCCGUAACUAUAACGGUCCUAAGGUAGCGAAAUUCCUUGUCGGGUAAGUUCCGACCUGCACGAAUGGCGUAAUGAUGGCCAGGCUGUCUCCACCCGAGACUCAGUGAAAUUGAACUCGCUGUGAAGAUGCAGUGUACCCGCGGCAAGACGGAAAGACCCCGUGAACCUUUACUAUAGCUUGACACUGAACAUUGAGCCUUGAUGUGUAGGAUAGGUGGGAGGCUUUGAAGUGUGGACGCCAGUCUGCAUGGAGCCGACCUUGAAAUACCACCCUUUAAUGUUUGAUGUUCUAACGUGGACCCGUAAUCCGGGUUGCGGACAGUGUCUGGUGGGUAGUUUGACUGGGGCGGUCUCCUCCUAAAGAGUAACGGAGGAGCACGAAGGUUGGCUAAUCCUGGUCGGACAUCAGGAGGUUAGUGCAAUGGCAUAAGCCAGCUUGACUGCGAGCGUGACGGCGCGAGCAGGUGCGAAAGCAGGUCAUAGUGAUCCGGUGGUUCUGAAUGGAAGGGCCAUCGCUCAACGGAUAAAAGGUACUCCGGGGAUAACAGGCUGAUACCGCCCAAGAGUUCAUAUCGACGGCGGUGUUUGGCACCUCGAUGUCGGCUCAUCACAUCCUGGGGCUGAAGUAGGUCCCAAGGGUAUGGCUGUUCGCCAUUUAAAGUGGUACGCGAGCUGGGUUUAGAACGUCGUGAGACAGUUCGGUCCCUAUCUGCCGUGGGCGCUGGAGAACUGAGGGGGGCUGCUCCUAGUACGAGAGGACCGGAGUGGACGCAUCACUGGUGUUCGGGUUGUCAUGCCAAUGGCACUGCCCGGUAGCUAAAUGCGGAAGAGAUAAGUGCUGAAAGCAUCUAAGCACGAAACUUGCCCCGAGAUGAGUUCUCCCUGAGACUUAGAGUCUCCUGAAGGAACGUUGAAGACGACGACGUUGAUAGGCCGGGUGUGUAAGCGCAGCGAUGCGUUGAGCUAACCGGUACUAAUGAACCGUGAGGCUUAACCU
rnacentral:rRNA from 1 species